AAGCAUGCAUCAGCCACAUCCAUGCUAUCUCCUAAAGCAGUCAUUCUGAAACCCAAUCUGGGGACAGUGCAGACUAAAUAAAAUUUCAUUUUGAUUUGGCCUCCUGCUGAGAAUGGGACUGCUUUGUUUCAGCCGACAGAACCAGCAAGCCAGAAAGGUUUUGUUUCAAAAAUUCAGAAGAUGUUUCUGACCUAAUUGAUCAAAAAUGCUUUUCUUCUGGAAACAGUGCAAAAUGAUUUCUUUUCAAGGCAAAUGACUGUGGGAACUGGUGAGAAAGACAAAGAAAGGGUCAUUGUGGUGAAGGAAAUAUUUUUAUCUAGGCCUCAGGAAACGGUGGUCUGGCCAGUGACUGCAGUGCUGCAGAUGGUUACAUGCACAGUAUUCACUCAGGGCAAAGCAUUCCAUCACUUAUGUCUGCCUCUAAACUCCUGGAUAACAAGAACUAAUGUCAAUAUCCACCUGGAAAUACCCAGUGUGGACACUACUACCCUGAAACAACCUUUCAAACUCAAGUGAGGCGAAAGAAGUACUGCUGGGAAAAGAAGAAAAACAUGAAACUGGACAAAGAUGGUUGCAUAAAUGAUCCAGAUUUGGAUUUGGCUUGCUUGAUGCUGGACGAUUAAUGAAGGAAGCCCUAACUGGACAAAUAAGAGGAUUGACAACAAGACGUGGAUGUUCAUCUUUAAUGACCUGUAGUCACCAAGUGGAAAUCAGCUAAUUUUGAUGAUACAACUGACCACCUUCUCAGAAAUAGCUAAAUAUUUACUCCUUCACAAAAUGAGCAAGACUAUUAACUGUGAACGUGGAGAGAUGAAGCAAGCAAAAAACAAGAGAAGUGUGAAGAGCUUUGCUGCCAUAUCAUCUGUGACACUGUAUCAGCUCCUAGUUUUAGGAUCGAUGAGUGAAUAGGUGUAUAAGAGAUACACUGUUAUCCUACAAAGAAGGGUUAUUUCAAAGAAAGAAAGAGAAAAAAC